AAUGAAUUAAUUGCUGGAAUAUUUGUCGGAAUUGGGCAACCAAUAGCAGCCAUUGGACAAUGUUUAUGGGUCCCUCUCAGACGUCAAAUUAGCUACGUCAAAAAUCUUGAAAAAAAUUUUGAGAAGCUGGAAGGAAAAGCGAAAGAUCUGUAUAGCAAAAGGGAGGAUGUAAACAGAGAGAUAAACAGAGAUACCAUAUCAAAAAUGCCAACAGAUGAAUGUCAAGAUUGGCUUGGGAAGGUGGGAGAGACGGAAAAUAAAAUCAAAGCCAUAGAAGCAGAGUUCCAACAAAAUAAGCGUUGCUGCAUUGGUGGAUUGUGCCCCUACAUUUGGUGGCGAAAGAAACUGGGUAAAAAAAUUGUGAAAAUGAUAGAUGAUGAGAUUGUUGAUCUCUUCAAGGACCACGACUCAAUGU